UACGUAGGGAGCAAACGUUGUCCGGAAUCAUUGGGCGUAAAGAGCGUGUAGGCGGUCCGGUAAGUCCGCUGUGAAAGUCGGGGGCUCAACCCUCGAAUGCCGGUGGAUACUGUCGGGCUAGAGUGCGGAAGAGGCGAGUGGAAUUCCUGGUGUAGCGGUGAAAUGCGCAGAUAUCAGGAGGAACACCUAUUGCGAAGGCAGCUCGCUGGGACGUAACUGACGCUGAGACGCGAAAGCGUGGGGAGCAAACAGG
rnacentral:rRNA from 1 species